rnacentral:lncRNA from 1 species
UUUAUGUGUCUGCUGCUGGUCUCUGGCUUUGCCCAGGCAGGCAGGCUGAUGCUGGUGCCCAUAGAUGACUAUCACUGGUUUACCAUGCAGAGAAACUCAGCCACAGAGGGCAUGAGUGGUGGGGGUCAUGCCAGAGGUGAGUUGGCACCUGGUGCAAUCUCUGAAUUCGAUGGUAAAGUCUUAGUCAUUGUCUCACACUCAGGAGGAUCUGGAC